AGGCCCCUCCUCCCCGCCCAGCUCCCGCUCACCCCUGCCACGUCAAAGGAGGCAGAAGGGGAGUCGCAGAGAGAGGGACCG
rnacentral:pre_miRNA from 1 species